AUUGAACGCUGGCGGCAGGCCUAACACAUGCAAGUCGAGCGAGCGGCGGACGGGUGAGUAAUGUCUGGGAAACUGCCUGAUGGAGGGGGAUAACUACUGGAAACGGUAGCUAAUACCGCAUACCAUCGGAUGUGCCCCCAUGGGAUUAGCGAGUAGGUGGGGUAACGGCUCACCUAGGCGACGAUCCCUAGCUGGUCUGAGAGGAUGACCAGGCACACGGGAAAUGAGGCACGGUCCAGACUCCUCAGGGAGGCAGCAGUGGCGAAUAUUGCACAAUGGGCGCAAGCCUGAGUCAGCCAUGCCGCGGGUAUGAAGAAGGCCUUCGGGUUGUAAAGUACGUUCAGCGGGGAGGCGUUACCCGCAGAAGAAGCACCGGCUAACUCCGUGCCAGCAGCCGCGGUAAUUC
rnacentral:rRNA from 1 species